UGCGAGUCAGAGUGCAGAGCAAAGCUCACCAGCAAGGGGAGGAUAGAUGAGAGCACAGCUCUUAGCAGCUACCACAGACUAAAGGUAGUUCUCUUAGGGAAAAAAAAAAAGCAGCUAAGUAGAGCUACAAACCUGAUUUUUCACUGCAUGCUUUAUAUUUUAAAGUAUCUGCUUCUAUUGAGUUUUGGAUUUUCUUUUUUUUAAAGCAGGGUUCAAACCUGUAGGAGCUUACUAUGAAACACUAUCAGACUACUUCACUGCCCCCGACUCCAAAAGCAGCAAUAAAGGGCAUACAUGAAGUGGCAACACAUCCAGCAGUGGAUCUAGGGCACCCACUUUUAUUUUGAGAUGCAAGGCAGUUGCACAGCUGCUUGGACACACAAGAGCAAGGCAGAGCCAUUGCCUCCCGUUCCUGAGGAGGACAAGAGCCUGGUCCAGGGCUGCAGCCCUGCAGCAUCCCCAGGAAUGGCGCACGGGCCCAAGGGCUGGGGCAGGGAGGCACCUCCGGCAGAGCAGCUACCUCACACUGGAACAGUUCGUGUCAAUCGGCAUCAGAGAAACUCCAGCUACACCAGCAGUGGCCUCGGUCAGCAAGAGGAAGCACAGAUGUGUGUUGAACAUGACAGAGCUACGUUAGUUCCAAGUACCAUAUAGAAACCUUCCAGCUUUUAUGUUUUCAGUAAAAUUCUGAAUUGCAAUUACAAUAUCAAUAGUAACACUUAGCAAAUCAAAUUGAUAAAUACAUACUGUGUUCCAACUCCAGGUUGUUUUUAAUGGCAAACCAUCUUCAAGUACAAUGAAUAUUUCUGCUCUGGCCGCUCUUUAGAUGAUGUUUUCAACUGUGUCGUAAUUUAACAUAGAACAGCUCUUCUUAAGACCUUGACAGAAUCCUUCAUUAUCUUAGGCAAUUAUAAUUUGUAUUUUUAGCCAAAACCCAUGCACAGCAGUCUGUCUACAGAAAUACCUCAACUGGUAGCCUGAAGUGUGUCUAACUUCUUGAAACACAGGGAUGGGUACUAACUUUAGGUAAAAAAAGAAAAUAAAUCAGCUUUCUUGCUAUCAUUAUUUAUUCCCUUUCAUACUUGCCCAUUUAGUUCCAAUAGUAAAUAUUUCUUACACUGGAUCUUCAAAACAUAAGCCAUUUCAUACCUCUUUAAGGUGGUCUGUAAAACUGUUCUGACAAGGUAAUUAAGAUCUGCCAGCUGGCACUCAUGUAAAAUACAUUUGCAACCAAAAGGUAGAGAUUUUACCUCCAACUAAAGGGUUAAAAGUCUCCUUUGAUUGCAGGAUCCAGAACUUAAUGCACUAUUUCAGAACCCUGCCACCC